UGAAUGGCAGGUUCCCCACUACUUGACGAGAACGUCCAAACAUCGAGCAGCAUGAGGAAUCUUGUCCAUGAACGCAGGUCUGACCAGGCAAUGUCGCAUGCAAGAUGACUGCCGUAUGCGGCUGUAAACUGCUUUAUAUGGAGCAUGCGCUUACGAGCUAAGCCGAUUCACUGCUACAUAUGAAUAAGGUAUUCGGCUAGCUCCGUGACAGCAGCAGCGGUAUUUCGGAGGAUCCGAGCGUAUCCGGAUUUAUUGGGUUUAAAGGGUGCGUAGGCGGAAAUGUAAGUCAGUGGUGAAAUCCUGCAGCUUAACUGUAGAAUAGCCGCUGAAACUGUGUUUCUUGAGUACAUUUGAGGUAGGCGGAAUGUGGUGUGUAGCGGUGAAAUGCAUAGAUAUACCACAGAACACCGAUUGCGAAGGCAGCUUACUAAACUGUCACUGACGCUGAUGCACGAAAGCGUGGGUAUCAAACAGGAUUAGAUACCCUGGUAGUCCACGCUGUAAACGAUGAUUACUGGUCGUUUGCGAUACACUGCAAGUGACUGAGCGAAAGCAUUAAGUAAUCCACCUGGGGAGUACGUCGGCAACGAUGAAACUCACAGGAAUUGACGGGGGCCCGCACAAGCGGAGGAACAUGUGGUUUAAUUCGAUGAUACGCGAGGAACCUUACCUGGGUUUAAAUGGGGAGUGACAGGCUUGGAAACAGGCCCUUCUUCGGACACUCUUCAAGGUGCUGCAUGGUUGUUGUCAGCUCGUGCCGUGAGGUGUCGGGUUAAGUCCCAUAACGAGCGCAACCCCUAUCGAUAGUUACCAGCACGUUACGGUGGGGACUCUAUCGAGACUGCCGGUGUAAACCGUGAGGAGGGUGGGGAUGACGUCAAAUCAGCACGGCCCUUACAUCCAGGGCUACACACGUGUUACAAUGGCCGGUACAAAGGGCAGCUACACAGCGAUGUGAUGCUAAUCUCCAAAUCCGGUCUCAGUUCGGAUCGAAGUCUGCAACCCGACUUCGUGAAGCUGGAUUCGCUAGUAAUCGCGCAUCAGCCAUGGCGCGGUGAAUACGUUCCCGGGCCUUGUACACACCGCCCGUCAAGCCAUGGAAGCCGGGGGUACCUGAAGUAUGUAACCGCAAGGAGCGUACUAGGGUAAAACUGGUGACUGGGGCU
rnacentral:rRNA from 1 species